UGAAAAGGUGCUCGGCAUCGUUAGCUCUUGGGGAAGAGCUGAUGGAAACCACAGAUGGCACCUCACAGCUGCUAGGGUGCAUACAGUCAAGAAAUGGGAAAUGGCAAAUACUAGAGGAGAUGUGGAGAAACGACGCUUGUGCACUGCUGGUGGGACUAGGAAUUCGAGCAGUGGCUGUGGACGUGUUUGGCGGUUGCUCCAAAGGUUACACACACACAGCCAGGACCAGCCGUGUUUCCCAGGUGCACAUGAAACUCGGCUGAAACCAGGGACGCGACAGACACCUGCGCACCCAUGUUCACGAUUCACAGACAAGACAGCACAGGUGUCCAUCAGUGACUGAGGAGUUUGACGAAACGUGUUUGUGUAGAGUGGACUAGGUUUCAGCCAUAAAGUGUGGAAGCUCGGUAUCUGCCACAAGGUGGAAUGACCUUGAGAACAUUGUGCUCGGGGGCGAGGCGCGUGCAGCAGGACGAACAGCAUCGUGACUGUGUGUGAAGGGCCUUGAACAGGCAAGUCCACAGGGCAGAACGGAGGACGGUCUGGGCUGAGUAGAGAGAGGAGCCAGUGAUCGUCCUAAUGAUACCAAGCAUCUAGGCAGUGGUGGCGGCUGCCCGCGUUGCGAGUGUGUUGAUUGCCACUGCAUUGUACACUGGAGGAUGGUGAAAGUCAUAAGUGUGAUGUUAGGCAUGUUUAGUAACGAAUAUAAAAUUGGGUAAGUGGUAGAUGACUAAAUACAGCAAUCGUGGAUGGUACAGAAACUGACAUAUACAUUUAAUCUUCGACAGCAAGGGGAUCAAACCAGUCAGUCCUAAAGGAGAUCAGUCCUGAAUAUUCACUGAAAGGACUGAUGCUGAAGCUCUAAUAUUUUGGCCAUGUGAUGUGAAGACCUGACUCAUUAGAAAAGACCCUGAUGCUGGGAAAGAACGAGGGCAGGAGGAGAAGGGGACGACAGGAUGAGGUGGUUGGAUGGCGUCACCGACUCAAUGGACAUCAGUUUGAGCAAACUCCGGGAGGUAGUGAAGGACAAGGGAAGCUGGCAUGCUGCAGCCCAUGGGGUCUUAAAGAGCCAGUCACCACUUAGCGACUGAACAACAGCAACAAACCUUUCAACAGUGAUUUCAGCAACUCACGAGCAGAAGUGAGGAGAUUAAGAGUCCCUAAGCAUCAAGAGGAAGGCGCCGAAAGUGGGGAAACAGCCAGAAUAAGAGCGGCCUGCAUCAAUCACAGACAAGACUCCAGAAGGAUAGUGGUGUAAAAAUUGAACAUGGAAUUCAGUAUGUAAAAGUCGACGAAGGUGACCACUAGCAUCAGGGUGGUGUGGGCGGCUCUGGUCUCCGGGGGGCAUCUGUGGUGCCCAGCGGUGGUGUGGAUACACUGCACCCUCUGGCGGUGUCUGAGCAGAAGCACCAUGGAGCCACUGGACCAGACCAUGAGGGUAAGAAACGGCAUCAGAGACGGACCACAGGAGGACAAUGGCUGCACUGGGUCUUGAUGAACAGAACCACUUCCUUUGACUGUGGGUAUCACUUCCUGUGUCCUGUGGACCAGCGACUGUCACAGGAACAGAGAUACUCAUUAAGAGACUGAGCAUCCAGCAGACCCACCAGGAAGGGCCAGUGACUUUGGGGGCCCUUCCCCUGAGCAUCACCCCCUCCGCUCUCCUGGGGGAGAGAGUGAAGGGCCGAUAGGUGCUCAGGACGCAGGUGGAGCACAGGGCGGUGCUGCGAGCUGCCCUCUGUAUGUAAUACGCAAACUCACACCCGAGACCCGACGGGCUUCCAUGACACAAGAGCUGCAAUGGCAGUGUGAGGAAUGCCAGGGGAGACAACCGGGAGGUUGGCCAGGGCCAAGUGUGUGAGAAUCGCAUCUAUGCCUCCUUUUCCGGUCAAGCAAGACUAGAGGGAUGCUGUGGGAGAAGAGGAAGACAUUACCCAGAGCCCCAACCACCACCUGGAACAGAAAGAUGGUUUUCACAGCCGCCUCCCCUAGUGUUCUCAGGGCAUCUCUGUGAAAACAUGGAGGGGACGUCAGAGUGGAGUGGCCUGGAGCGGAAAGGGGCUGAGCUGGUGCUGACGUCAGCAGUCUUCACGUAGAACCAACACUGGACAGGAAUUCUUGACCUUUUCCUCUCCUGAGAAGGGAGACACUGUCAUACUCCACAGGAGGAGCUCAACCUGGAGAAUAUAUACAUGGCGCCACUUACACUUUUCACUGUUUUGUAUUUAUUUCUAUUUACCUGUAUAUCCUGAUCCUUCACCUUCAGGACCCAGAUGCAAGGAUGUACUCCACACCCCUUAGAGUUCAUGGUCUUCCUACCCGUGAUAAGGACUUACUAACUUAAGGCAAUGAAAGAGAAAACGGAAAAAUAUUGUUGAACUAAUAAGACGGUCUAAUUUUAACAGUGUGCAAGUGAGUUAUAGCAAGCUCCUAUUUCACCAGACUUACUGGACACUAAAUAACUUUUAAAAAUGAGUCUUCAGGACUUCAAGGACUUCAGCUUUCUAGGUCCUCACUCAAGGAGCUCAUUCAAGUCAUCGCUCCCUCCUAACAAGACUGAACAGGAAGAAAAUUCUUGCAUCAUGAAGAGAGGAGAGAAAACGGGCACCACUGCCUCCAUGACCGGAGAGACAGUGACUAGCGGGGCUCAAGGUUCUGGAGCAGAGACUCGUGAUGGAGACACCUUGCGAACAAGGCCUGCCAGGAGGAGAAAUGCCAC
ensembl:lncRNA